rnacentral:rRNA from 1 species
GAAAGAUUCAUCGGAAGAGGAUGGGCAUGCGGCGCAUUAGCUGGACGGCGGGGUAACGGCCCACCGUGGCGACGAUGCGUAGGGGUUCUGAGAGGAAGGUCCCCCACACUGGUACUGAGACACGGACCAGACUCCUACGGGAGGCAGCAGUGAGGAAUAUUGGUCAAUGGGAGAGAUCCUGAACCAGCCAAGCCGCGUGAGGGAAGACGGCCCUAUGGGUUGUAAACCUCUUUUGUCGGAGAACAAAACCCGGGACGUGUCCCGGACUGCGUGUAUCCGAAGAAAAAGCAUCGGCUAACUCCGUGCCAGCAGCCGCGGUAAUACGGAGGAUGCGAGCGUUAUCCGGAUUUAUUGGGUUUAAAGGGUGCGUAGGCGGUCCGUUAAGUCAGCGGUAAAAUUGCGGGGCUCAACCCCGUCGAGCCGUUGAAACUGGCAGACUUGAGUUGGCGAGAAGUACGCGGAAUGCGCGGUGUAGCGGUGAAAUGCAUAGAUAUCGCGCAGAACUCCGAUUGCGAAGGCAGCGUACCGGCGCCAGACUGACGCUGAGGCACGAAAGCGUGGGGAUCGAACAGGAUUAGAUACCCUGGUAGUCCACGCAGUAAACGAUGAAUGCUGGUUGUCCGGGUCGAAUGAGAUCUGG